AUGGCUCCGCCGCCCAUGCCCGGGAUGCAGCUGCAGAUGCCGCCCAUGACCAUGCACGGCCACGGCGACGUGUACCCGGCGCCCGGGAUGAUGAAGCGCGAGGGCGGCGGCGCGGGGGACGCAGGGAGGAUCGGGCUGAACCUCGGCCACCGGACCUACUUCUCCCCCGGUGACAUGCUGGCCGUGGACCGGAUGCUGAUGCGGUCCCGUCUCGGCGGCGUGUUCGGGCUGGGAUUCGGCCGCGCCCACCACCAGGCGCCUCGGUGCCAGGUGGAGGACUGCAAGGCGGACCUCUCGGGCGCCAAGCACUACCACCGGUGCCACAAGGUGUGCGAGUACCACGCCAAGGCCGCCCUCGUCUCUGCCGCCGGCAAGCAGCAGCGCUUCUGCCAGCAAUGUAGCAGGUUCCACCUGCUCACGGAGUUCGACGAGGCCAAGAGGAGCUGCCGGAGGCGGCUCGCAGAGCACAACCGUCGCCGGAGGAAGCCGGCGGCCGGCAGCACGGCGGCGUCGUCCAAGGAUUCGGCUCCGCCUUCCAAGAAACCCAACGCCGGCGCCAUCUCCAGUUCCUACCCUGCCGACAACAACACGCUGAGCACGACGAAGUCGACCAUCUCCUCCAACACGAGCGCGAUCAGCUGCCUCCAGCAGGGCCAGGCCAGUGAGGUAGCGGCGACGAGGCCGACGGCGCUCACCCUCGGUGCGGCGCCGGAGAAGGACAACCAACAGCGGCAGCUCAGGAACGCCAUGCAGCUCCACCACCAUCAGGAGCAGCAACACUUCAUCACCUCCCUCUUGCGCAACAACAUCAAUAACAGCAACAUCCUGUCGUGUUCCUCGGUGAGCUCCAGCACGAUGCCCUCGGCGGCGGCGGCGGCCAAUGGCGAGGUCUCCGACCAGAACAACGACAACGCCAACAACAGCAUGCAUAUGUUUGAGGUGGACUUUAUGUAG
rnacentral:rRNA from 1 species